AAGACUGAGGAAUAUGUCCUGGGAACCCUUGCUUUGAAAGGGAAAAGACCAGAGGAUUUUGGAAGUUAAACUAUGAGGAUCUUAAUUUUUGUCUUGGUGUUAGGUGUUUUCUCAUGUUUGGGAUUCCCAGUGUAUGACUAUGAGCUCCCUGUCACAGAAGAAGCUCUCAAUGUUUCUAUUGCAAGGAUCAACUCCCAGUCAUGGGGGACAAACCUGUAUGGUGUUGUCAGGAGCCGUGUCACAAGAGUUGAGAUGUGGAACAGUGACGAUUACAGACUAGAGCUGCAGUUCAGCAUUCGUGAAACUGUGUGCACCAAAGCUUCAGGGAGAGACCCAUUCACCUGUGACUUCAAAAUAGGACCCUUUGUGCCAACCAGUUUCUGCAGCAGUGUGGUGGAAGUCUCUGGAGAGCUGAUCUCGAACAUUGUUGUCCAGUGCCGUGGAGGCAGAUACAGCUCCGAAUCUAUCAGCAGUGAGGAGAUGAUGCAUGUGCCAGUAAUGAGCCCCAGCAGGCAAGGAAGCAGUCCCAGAGAAGAUUUAUUUGCUCCUGAAGCCUUGCCUUCAAGGAGAAGAGGCAGCAGACGUGAAGAUUGGCACAGAUCCAGCUAUUUCAGCUCUGCCAAGAUUGAAUAGUGUGGCUUGGGAAGAUAUCCCAACUACAGAGCUCCCAGCUCACUCUCAAGUAGCCCAUCCUGGAUGUUCACACACACACCUGUGUCCCACUGUGCAGGUAGUGUGAAUGAAAACCCAACUCCUGACCUGAGGUCAGCAUUUGGCUCAGACCUUGAGCUACAGUUCAUCCUUUUUACUUCCAUCUCUCUUGGCUAGCAGAGACACAUUCCUGUCCAAUGUUUCCUGCAUACGUUGGACAUUACCCAAACUAGUUGCCCUUAGCAGAGGUGUGAGAUCUGGAACAUUCCCUCACUGUUUACGGGCAAAGACAAGGGAUUAGACCCUCUGCUGCACUAGGAAAUUUUCCUGCUUCUGGAGGAUGCAAACUGUGAAUGAUUCCUUGACUACACUGUGCCUUUAGGCCUAAUUUCACAGAAUCACAGAAUGUUUUAGGUUGGAAGAAACCUCCAAGAUCAUCCAGUCCAACCUUUGACCAGCACCAUAAGCUAACUAUUAAACCAUGUCCUUAAGGACCAGGUUCAAGACCCUUAAUGUAAUUCCUGGAGGAAACCAACAGGACUUCACCAGAGGAACAGAAGCCUUCUUAAAGCCUACUUACUGUUCCAUGUUGCAUUUUGCAAGCACUAGGAACGAACUUUUCAAAGCUGGAAUUUCCCAUGUUCUCUCUUCUUCCUCAUUCUUCUCUUGCCACUUAGUCCCCAGUGAUGAGUGCAGUGGCUUGUCCUGGUUUUUCUUCCUGCAUCCCCCAUCUCCAGGGCUGGGCAGGUCCCAGAUACUCCUGGACAAGCUGCUCUCAGAGAGUCACUUCAUCCAUCACUACCACACAUGGGGACACUCUUUCAUGGCACAAAUUUAUCCCUAAAGUUUUAUUAACAAAAUUGUCUUACUGAAAAAAUUCAGGUUACCAUGGUGACAAACUUACUGAAGGUACAAGCCUCAGCUACAGACUGCUGUAGAAGCAGUCACAUGUUUUCUUAGAAUCACAUAUCUCAGAUUCCCUCUGCAUAUGGUACCUCUUAUUGAGAUACAUUUGUCAGAAGACUUUGUACCAGCUUAUAACCUCAACCAUCUCUAUUUUUGAGGCUUUACAAUUGUUGUUGAUUUGUGUCUCACGUUACAUAUUUCACUGCUGUUAAUUUUUCUAGCAGUCCAAUACUUAUUUUUAAUACUAAUUAGCAACUGACAUGACAUUUUUUGCAUAUGUGAACUGUUUUGCCUAUGCAGGUGUCUUUUUACAGACUCCUCAUUGCGUGAUUCUGAUGCUAAACAAACUAAUAAGCAACUCAGUGGAGUUUUUUUCCUAGCCCAUGGAUGUUUUGUUAGCUCUGUGAAGCAUGCCACAAAUUGUGAGCUAUGACAUUUCUCCCUGUUUUAUUUUUUUUAAACUAGAUUGGAAAAUUAGAAGAAUCCAGCAUGUGAAGAAUGAACCUGAUGCAGUUUCCUUUUCUUUUUCAUGGAAAACUCUCCUGUAAUGAUGUGACAGUCUUUUUGCUGUUAUGUCAAGUGCCUAUUGGAUGAGUUCAUGCCUGCACUUGUCAGUCAGUCCCUGCCUUCUGAUGUGUUUGAGUUCACUGGGUGGGCUGUCUCUGACACCUGGUGUAGCUGUGUCCACCACAUGUUGUACCAUCUCAUACUGAUGCUAUUAAAGGAUGAUUAUUUCAUCUG